AUGAGUGCUGUCAUACACGCAGGCCGGCCAAGCGCUGCUCUCAUUGUCGCAUGGACUGACGCCAGCGAUGCAUGUCUUACACACAGCAACAUGGCAGAGGGCUUCCUCAGUAACAGUGGGACUCUGAUCCUGCUUCGAGCGUGGUGGACCAGAGCGGCGGCGCCAGAGAUCCGUCCCGGCGUGGACUAUUUAGGGGCUCAUCACCCUGGAGCGCCCCUUUGAUCCUCCCGGCUUUGUCUCGCGGGGACCCGCCCACCUUAACUGCGAGCUCCGCCGCUCAGCGUCAGCACCACAGCAAACCGGACUGGCGCGUAUGGUGGCCUCGCCCUGUGGCCAAAAAUUAAUGCCAUGUGUGUGAGAUGCGUAACCUCGGGCUUUCUAAGGAGGUUACUGUGAUGCCGCAGCACGCACCCCACCCCCUGGCGUGAGGCUCGAUUGUCACAACGUUGGAGGGACUCGCCUGAGGUUUCCAAACUGGGAGGAAAUGCAGAGCAGCGCCAGCUGUCGUCACCCGAAGCCGCGAUGGAGGCAUGACGAUCAUGCAUGCCUUCCUGUCCAGGGCUGCACCAGUGCAAACCAGUCCAGUCCCGCUAACCUCUCCGUGGGUUUUCGGGAACGUUCCAGGGCACCUGCAUCCUGCCGCAGCCACUGGGAGCAGCGGUCACCUGCAGCUGUGUUUGCUUCAGCAUGCAUGUGUGUGCGUGUGGGAUGUAAAAGGCACCCCCCCAGGACACCAAAGAGCACAGAGAGUGUGUAACCCAGCUCAGGAGGCUCAGGGGAGCUGUGUAUUUCCAGGAGCUCCCCAGGAGGAAAAUGAGGACCUAUGUGAGUGUGUGGGUACAGUUUUUUCUGUUCUUGUGGGGUAAUGAUCUGAAAGUUCUGAGGACCAAAAAGGUAAAGUUUGUGGGAACAACAACACAUUUUAAUUUGCAAAGCUUAGUUUUCAGUGGGACAGUUAG